rnacentral:lncRNA from 1 species
GGGGACUCAUGAGUUAUGAUUCAGAAUAGAGCUGAUUUUGGAGAUACUGGAAUUUGUCAAUUCACUCAUAUAAACAUAACAUAUAAUUUCUUUUAUAAAUGCAGUAAAGUACAACUGAAAAUAUGUCUGACCCCUUCAUAACCUUAAUGGUUCUAUAAAUAUGGCACUGAAGUAAUUUAUAAAGCUGUUAAAAUUAAUUCUGUCAUUAAAAUAAACUCCACAGUUCAUUACAUUACCACUGUAGUAACCUAACUAUGAACUUCUCUGAGUCAGCAAAGUGAAUCAAUGGUGAUGAAUGAUAUUACUGCUGAGCAGAACAUGGAUGAAAUGCUUGCCUGGUCAGGAAGCUGCUUUCUUCCAAUACAAGCAGGUUGGUUUUCAUUGACUCCCCACACCCCUCUGGUCUAUUGUCUGCUUUUUAUAUAAUUUUGUUUUUGGUUUGGAAGACACAUUGUAAGGGUCCGGGGAAGCUUCGGAGGAAGAGACCACCAAGAGACUGACUCAUGCAAUUGCAGAAGGGGAUUUAUUUAUUGAGGAUCCAAUCCAGUGCGCUGGGGCUCUGUGCUCACUCAAGAAAGGAGAGCAGCCCAGAGCCCAGAGCAGGGGCUGAGCACUGCUUAAGUAUACUUCUUGGGGAGGGCGGGGACUUUACAUACAUCACAGUCUCCUUUAACAAAUCAUCAUACACCUCGGGAAAAUCAAACAACAAUUCCUAAACAUGAUUAGUUCAUUCACUGGUGGGAACAGGUCAGGCGGGGGUGAUUGGUUACUCCUAAGUGGGGUACACAUUCAAACUGAUUGGUUUAGGCCCUGCGAUGCCUACUGCAAGAUCUCACAGGGCCCUAGGCUAUUAAUCAACUAAAUGGCCAGUAGGGCGUUGUCUUAACUGCCUCAGGAAUUUCAGGUUCUGGGUGUAGCAGAGGAACUUAACAAUACCUAGUCCUUCACUUUUUAACUCAGGCCUUGCAGCUUAGGAACUUUACAAUGCCC